AGUGAACGCUGGCGGUAGGCCUAACACAUGCAAGUCGAACGGCAGCACAGGAGAGCUUGCUCUCUGGGUGGCGAGUGGCGGACGGGUGAGGAAUACAUCGGAAUCUACUCUGUCGUGGGGGAUAACGUAGGGAAACUUACGCUAAUACCGCAUACGACCUACGGGUGAAAGCAGGGGAUCUUCGGACCUUGCGCGAUUGAAUGAGCCGAUGUCGGAUUAGCUAGUUGGCGGGGUAAAGGCCCACCAAGGCGACGAUCCGUAGCUGGUCUGGGAGGAUGAUCAGCCACACUGGAACUGAGACACGGUCCAGACUCCUACGGGAGGCAGCAGUGGGGAAUAUUGGACAAUGGGCGCAAGCCUGAUCCAGCCAUACCGCGUGGGUGAAGAAGGCCUUCGGGUUGUAAAGCCCUUUUGUUGGGAAAGAAAUCCAGCUGGUUAAUACCCGGUUGGGAUGACGGUACCCAAAGAAUAAGCACCGGCUAACUUCGUGCCAGCCGCCGCAGUAA
rnacentral:rRNA from 1 species